AUCGAAGCGACAGCAGCUAAAAUGAAGUUCUGGUGUUUUAGAGCCCCGGCUGAUGAUGAUGAGCCGCGCAGGGUCACACCCAAACCUGAGGAGAAGAAGAAGAACAAAUGGUGGCAGAUACGCAAAAAGAAAGAGAAGCAGGAGGUUUGUUGUCAAUGACUGGACCCAAAAAAAAUUUAACUUGGAUUCGUCACUCCAAUAUACUUUUUUUCCACUUGGCAACUUGGCAUCCUGAUGGUCAACUUCCUGGGAAUGCUGAUGAAGCUGCCAGAUGCUGAGCCAGUUCCUCGCCGGACUUCCGGUCUCUCAAAGAAGAAACUCUAAUAAACUUGCCAUCAGAUUUUAA